UGGGGAAUAUUGCACAAUGGGCGAAAGCCUGAUGCAGCAACGCCGCGUGUGUGAAGAAGGCCUUCGGGUUGUAAAGCACUUUUGUCCGGAAAGAAAUCCUUGGCUCUAAUACAGUCGGGGGAUGACGGUACCGGAAGAAUAAGCACCGGCUAACUACGUGCCAGCAGCCGCGGUAAUACGUAGGGUGCAAGCGUUAAUCGGAAUUACUGGGCGUAAAGCGUGCGCAGGCGGUUUGCUAAGACCGAUGUGAAAUCCCCGGGCUCAACCUGGGAACUGCAUUGGUGACUGGCAGGCUAGAGUAUGGCAGAGGGGGGUAGAAUUCCACGUGUAGCAGUGAAAUGCGUAGAGAUGUGGAGGAAUACCGAUGGCGAAGGCAGCCCCCUGGGCCAAUACUGACGCUCAUGCAACGAAAGCGUGGGGAGCAAAACAGGAUUAGAUACCCUGGUAGUCCACGCCCUAAACGAUGUCAACUAGUUGUUGGGGAUUCAUUUCCUUGGUAACGUAGCUAACGCGUGAAGUUGACCGCCUGGGGAGUACGGUCGCAAGAUUAAAA
rnacentral:rRNA from 1 species